CUCUGCUCCUCUCCCCCUCUCAUGUGUUCUCUCUCUCUCUCUCUCUCUCAAAUAAAAAAAAAAAAAGUGAAUUCCAAGGGAGAAUGCCUGAGUUCUGAGGCUCUUCCUUCUCCACCUGCCACGUUCGAGAAGCCCAAGUCCCUGUGGACAUCACCCGGAGAAGGAGCCGUCCUCAGUGGGCCCUGAAUUCCUGACCCACGGAAUUGUGAGAAAUAAGAAAAUAGUUGCUGUUUGAAGCCACUGAGUUUUGGGGAUAGUCUAUUACACGGCAACAGAUAAGACAAACAGGAUGCGUUUAUGCAAUUCUUGCGGAGGGACAGUGCCACGCGGAGGAACAAGCACAAACAAUGAAGGUUAGAUGGACCUGGGUUCGAAUUCCUCAGCCACCAGGAGCUGUGUGAUGCUCGUUGCAGAAGCCUGGCCGCAUCCACUCCGUCGGAACCCUGUGGGCGCCUCCCUAUCUGCAAAUGUUCCAGGUUGCACAGUAUUUUGUAAAGUCCACGGGACUGAUGUAUCCCCAGUGCCCAAAGCAGUGCUUGGCGCACAGUGUGUGCUCAGGAAGUACUUGUUGAAUAAACGAGAUGGACAGCCUAAGCCCAUUUGAAGGAGCAGCCCUCUAACGGGCCAGAGAUGAGCCGAGGCUGUGUGUUUGAACUUCUAUCGCUACGGUCUGGAAGUCGGCACUCGCUAAGGGCGGACAUCAUUGGUGGCCUCAUCCAUGUUUGGCCCCUCCUGCAUCUCUGCUCACAGAAUCCAAUUGUGCCCAGAGCAGCGGUGUGUCCAGCCCCCGGUGGUGGAUCCUGACUGGUCCACACUAGUCAUGACGACCCUUCAUCUUCCCAGCCUCCUUUGUGGCUAGGAAUGGCCAUGGAGCCUGUUUUGGCCAAUGAGACCAAAGUGGAAGCCUAUUGGUUAUGGGAAGGGUUUCUGGGAAAGUGUUAGCUUUCGUGGUAGAUGGAGGCCAAUGCAAUUGCACCUGUCCUUCCUCCUUCCUCCGCUGAAGGUGGAUGUGACUGCUGGAGCAGGAGAAGCUGUCUUGUAACCACGAGCAAGAGGCCAAGAGAACUGCAAAGGAGCUCUGAAACUUUUUAUAACUUCUUGUUAUAAAACAAGAACAAUUCCCCAAGUCAGUAUAGUCAGGUUUUCUUUUACAUGUGGCCAAAGAAUGCUCAAAUGAUACACAGGUUGUCUGGUUGAAAAAACUGAGUCAUGUAUGACACAUGAGCACGAAGGCUUCAAAGAGUUUCAGAGCCCUUACAUGUCCUUGAUUGAAGGGGUAAACUGAUAGAUUAAGUCCAAGAAACUGAAUUUUAUAGAAGACUUUUACAAAGAGUGUCAGGAGUCAUGUGCUCAGCUUGUCAAUAAAAACAAGAAAAUCUGCAACUUU